UUUAUGGAGAGUUUGAUCCUGGCUCAGGAUGAACGCUGGCGGCGUGCCUAAUACAUGCAAGUCGAGCGAACAGAUAAGGAGCUUGCUCCUUUGACGUUAGCGGCGGACGGGUGAGUAACACGUGGGUAACCUACCUAUAAGACUGGAAUAACUCCGGGAAACCGGGGCUAAUGCCGGAUAACAUGUUGAACCGCAUGGUUCUACAGUGAAAGACGGUCUUGCUGUCACUUAUAGAUGGACCCGCGCCGUAUUAGCUAGUUGGUGGGGUAACGGCCUACCAAGGCGACGAUACGUAGCCGACCUGAGAGGGUGAUCGGCCACACUGGAACUGAGACACGGUCCAGACUCCUACGGGAGGCAGCAGUAGGGAAUCUUCCGCAAUGGGCGAAAGCCUGACGGAGCAACGCCGCGUGAGUGAUGAAGGUCUUCGGAUCGUAAAGCUCUGUUGUUAGGGAAGAACAAAUGUGUAAGUAACUGUGCACAUCUUGACGGUACCUAACCAGAAAGCCACGGCUAACUACGUGCCAGCAGCCGCGGUAAUACGUAGGUGGCAAGCGUUAUCCGGAAUUAUUGGGCGUAAAGCGCGCGUAGGCGGUUUUUUAAGUCUGAU
rnacentral:rRNA from 1 species